GUAACUAAAAUUCAAGCUAUAAAACUUCAUUCGGGUUUCCAUGCAGCGAUAAACAGCGAGGCCAUAGGAGCCCUCAGCGCAGGCCUCGCUGUGGCGGCGGCCCGGGGCGGCUGUGGCGCCGCGCUGCUCUGUGGAGCUGCGGCACCGCGCGAGGGCAGCGCAGCCCCGCGGCCACACCGCGCUCAGGCGGAGCGAGGGUUUUUGUGGAGUUGCGGUGAGGAAAUGCGAGUUUUGCGGUGCUGGGGACGUCUUCGGCGCGUUGUUUAUUGCCGCGGGGUUUUGCCUCACCAGGUGGUUCCGCAAAGCAGAGUUUCAGGCAGCUGAGGACUCUGAGUGGCCCUUCAUUGUGACAAUCAGUGACUAUGGGGAAAAAUUGCAAAGGAUGCAAAAUGAUCUUAGCAUGAGAGAAGGGGAAACAAGCAGAUGGGAAGGUAACUUCUCAUGCGAAGAGCUGUGUUUGCAUCAUUGAGUGUCCUGUGAGUGCCCUGCUGCCAAGAGGAGUUGACCGCUGUCACUUCCCCCUAAAUCUUAAAAACUCAACUCCACAAGUGAUUUUUAUCUUUAUACCAUUGUUUAAAUCUGUUCUGAAGUUGCCAGUUGUGGCUAGAGUGUAUCCUCUUGCUCCCUGUGCUCCCUUUGGCUAGCACAGGAGAUUGUGUCACUUAUUUUCUCUAUAUUGCCCGUUUGUCCAUUAUCUACAGAUUGGGGCCAUUAAACGUCCUGAGAAAGCACGCGGACUGUAGGCAUGGCUGUCCCUGGCUGGCUGAAUGCCCACAGGAUCAGCAUCGCUCUGGAGGGGAGGCAUCGGAGGAAGAAUCCUUGCAGAGAGAACCCAGAUUUAUUUUGGAUGGUGGUUCUGCUUUAUCAGCUGGCAAACACCCUGAACAAUUGAGAGGGCUUCAGCCUGCCUGCAGGUGCCUUUACCACAAAUAAUUUUAAUGUAGAAAUCCACGGUAACUGAACUGAACUGACUGUCAUCUGCAAGCUGUAGUAAAGAUUUUCCAGUAAUGUUACUACUUAAAUCCCUCAGAUAGUUGGGAUGCCAAACACCAAACAGGAGCGUGUUGUGGGCAGGUUGCUGGGCUGUUGGUAGUUUCUUCACGUCUGCAGUUGUGUGCCCUGGCUCAGAAUGAAUAGAUUCAGAGUGAACCAGUUUCCCAGUGCCCUCACAGCCUUUUCUCUGCGGUGAGUCUCUAAAUGGCUGCUGCUACCUAUUCUCAGGGUCUCACUGCAAGUCUUCUCUUUCGCGUGUGCUUUUCCUCUGAGGCCCAGCACUCUGAUAAAUGGCAUGAGGUCAGUCUGAAAAAUGUCUUGGAUGCUUCACCUUGCCACAGCAGAUGACGCAGGUACCAGCAGGAGGACUGGGAAGCCGUGCUGUCUGCUUUGGGGCAGUUCAUACGUUACAUGCUUGUAUUAACUUCUGGGUGUGACACUCCACCCUAUGCAGGACUUAUUUGUUUUGUUAAAGCCAUUUCUUUCGGAAUAUCAGCAUUUCAGUCCAGCCUUUGCACUUAUCUGCCACCCUGCAACAGUUUAUUCCCUGGCUGUGCGCUUCAGUCCACCAGCUCUGGACCUUUGCACUUUACAUAGAUGAUCCUGCCCAGGUUACAGAUUCACACGGUAAAUUACUGUAAUGUUGUGUGCAAAGAACAUCCUGCUCCAGCAAAAAAUAUUCCACAUCAAUUUGAUUUAAAGUGGUAUCGAUGCCUUGAACCUGACUCUCUAGAAAGAGGAGAGGAAACAGCACUGUCUACUGGGUGAUUUUCAGAGCUGCCAACUGAGCUUGUUGGUUUUCUGCUGGUGUCUGACAGUUACGAGGAGCGCAGCAGACAUUACUGCACACCAGUGAGAAAUGCAAACUGCCAUCACAGUAGUAAGUCUCCCUUGCUACUGGUAUUUGAAUUCCCGGCCUUCUGCCCCAGUGAAAACUGAAAUUUAAAUACAAACUUAAAAUUUUCCAAGAGGAAUUUCUACAGAUCAAUUUAAAAAUGUACAGCUGUUUGUGUAGAGGCCAAUUUCUCCCACUCUGGCUUGCUGUUUGUCUUCAACUUUUAAACAGUUGCUUUUUUUUAAUUUAUUUGGGCAUUCACAGCUGAGUGAAUCUCUUAACAUGAAGAGUCAGAUAGGGGAUUUGUACUGAUACAGAGCAUGACCUCUGAAUUAUAUAAUAUAAUUCCUUUGUUUAAGCAUACAAAUUAAUUUUCUAAUUGGUUUACUCAUUAAGAGCUGGUAAUGCUGCACCUUGCUUUGUCAUUUAUAAUCCUGGGCUGUUUUAAAAGAUGGGGGAUGAAAAAAAGCAAGGGGUAGAUGGAGGAAAAAAUUGCUUUUCCAGCUAACAUUACAAAUAACAUCAUUGAUAAUAUAAUGCUCAUAGGAAUUUGAUUGUCACAGAUGACUUCUCUUAACAAGAACAGAUUGUGAUGUUGACUGAGGGCAUUCUGCAAGGAGCUUCUUUAAGAAAGCGUUGGGCACAAAUUCUAACUGAGGAGCAUUAAGAGCAAUGGAAUUAAAGCACAGCCUUUUCUUAGUUUUGCUCUCACAUAAGUUUGAAGAUGAGAAAAAGCAAACAGAAACCCAGCAUCAGUGUCAGGUACACGCAAGCAGGCUGAUACUGGGUAAGCUUGUACAGAGUGUGCAGUGUGGAGAGUGUGAUACAGUGCUGUGCUGGAAAUGAUCUGUUUGCCAUGGAGUACCCUGGGAUAAUUGAGUGCUCUAUAAUGAGGGUGCAGGAUGUGUUAAUCAUCCCAUUUCAGCUCUCUUGGCAGGAAUCUGACAGUUGCUUACAGCAAAGCAGACACAGAUACUUAUGGUUUUAUAGCCGCUGCCAUGUGACCAGCAGAUUUUAUUAUUGUGCUGUUCUUCCUGAUUUUCUAAACGGAGGAGCAAAAUGCUGUACCGUUUUCAUCUGCUCUGCUGGGAUAAACUUGUGCAAAAAAAAAACGUAAAAUAAUUUUGUUGUUGCGUUUUAAGCUUUCUCUCACUUUUUCUCUGCUUUUACAUUUAAGCUCUAUUUAGUUUGGUUAACCAGAAAGUUGAAAGCUUUAGCAAGAUCUAUUGUUUGAUGAAGCUGAGGCUAACUUAGCCAUGUAUAUCUUGACCAAAGUUAGAAAAUGGCCUAUUGAAGUGCAUGCUUUUAUCUCACAGCCGUUUUACAAAGCUCUGUGCAUUGCCCCGCGUUACUGAAACGAGCCACUAGGUUUCACCAAACCGUCGUCUCCAUCUGAAAACUGCAUCUGCCACUGAGGUCAUUUGGGUCUUCCUGAAAAACUGUCAGGCGUGUUUUUUUUUUCUUUUUAACAGUCUUCAUGUGAGGCAUUUAUGAAUCACGAGCUGUGACUUAUCUGUUGCCCUGCCAUCUUCUCCCUGUCGCAAUCUCAAAUAAUUCCUAUGGCUGCAAUAAAAAUUGCACUGACUUCUUCCCAUGCAACAGGAAUGUUUGCAUUUUAUGAGCUUUAAUAGCUGUUUUUAAAAUAAAUCAGUCUUGUAUUGUAACUUGUGUAGUCAUAUCUGUGGGAUCAUAAACCUUAACAUCCCUUUUAUGCUCUGGCACUGCAACAGUAACAAUCAGGACAAUAGAAACUUGCUUCAGUUUUUUUUGUAUGGGUGACACUGGAGUCUCUUUUUGCACUGCUUGAUAAGACACUGUGUUGUCUGCCACUCAAAUUGCACUAAAAUCAUCAAAGUAAAAGGAGCUGCAGCAAUAUUUCUGCUUAUAACCUGCUUCAGAGCCUUUAUCUAACUAUCAUAACGCCCGGUUCCCAAAAAUGAUUCAGUUCUGUCAGUGAUGUGGGGCACUGAAAUUUCCUGAGGUUAACUGUGAGUCUUUCCCUUUGCUUAUUCAUGUUUGGAAUGAAGUGCUGCAGAAAGCCCUGCAGUGAGUUUAUCUGAACAGGAUGGGGAAGCCUUCAGCACCUUAGUGGCUGUCUGCAUGCCUUCCUCCUUCAUUAAGCAGCAUCUUUCCUUUAUUUAAACAGAUCACUGUUUUCCUCUCAGAUUUAUUCCUAGGUUCAACAGGAACUCUUGGAUUCCAUGACACAAAACAUUGUGUUUUACUGCUUGUAAGGAAGCAUUUCAGGUGAUGUGUACAGUCAAAUGAUUCUAGUUUUUAGAAAUAUAGCUUUCUUGGUAGAAAAUGACUAUGAUUUACUCAGGCCUUAAUCUCAACGUCAGUGCAAUCAGCAAAAUGUAAAACUUCUGUCUUCCUCUCUAAUAAAUUCCUCAUAACUGCAUGCAUCUGUAACCUAAGCAAGGUACUUCUCUCACAUGCUGGGAACAAUGACUUCUCUCAGUAACCUGGGAAGUGAAUGGGUGUUGUCACGAUGGUAAUUUUAGUAGAUGGAAAGUAAUAUAUUUUUCUAUGAGGUUUCCUUCACACGAUAAAAAGAAAAGGCGUUGGGAAAUUUAACUACAUGAAAGUAGGUUAUAAGGAAACAAAUGUCAUAGGUAAUAAAGUGAUGUCAGUUCUUUUCUUUUUAAAUUCAAACUGUGUUUGAGUACUAAAUGUCUGAAUUGUUUCUGAAUACAUUAAUAAGUAAAAGAUUAGAAAAUAGUCCAAACUUAUCACAGUCUUUGAAAACUUGAUACCCUUUACAUUAUAACUUUAAAUGGAAUUUGCAUUCGACUCUAAGAAAGAAAAUAAUCUUCCAGAGACAUUUAAAUUAAUUGCUGUAGUUAAUUUCACUCAUAAUUUUACAUUUUUGACUGAUUGUAAUCAAGUUUUAUGGAGUAUAUGUGUUUAUUUCUGUCAAAAGCCUGAAAUUGGAUUUGUUUGGGGGGGAAAUGCAUUUAAACUUGGUACUGAAAACUGCACGUUCUCAUUCUCAGCAGUUGGUUUGAGUGAGUUGUGUCUGUGCUCAGGAGGGCCCCGCCGAGGUCACCGUGCUUGCUGCUUCUGCUGCCCUCUUGCUCCUGGAGACUUUUCCCUGCUUCCAUCUCCUCUGAUUGCUUUUUAACCUGCCUCUGUGAAACAUUUCAGGUUCAAAAAUGCCAGUGAAUAUUUUUAAUAGAGAGACAGUGUCUCCCACAGCUUGACUUGUGGAGUUGGGGAGGACUCUUGUCUGCACGGUUUGGGUUGCUGGCAAUGACUGGUGUUAACGCAGCAGCCCUAGUGCUCAGCACAUCUUGCAAAUAUGUGCAAAUAACUCCAUGGUGCUGGGCACUGGCACACGUGGUCCCAGAGUGCUGCCAAGUGGAAGUGCUUUGGAAACUUCCCCUGUGUGUACCGAGGGCUAUCCAUUCCUGCCAGCCCAAAGCAGCUCUAAUUGGAGGAAAUCCUCUUGCAGCUUGUUGUUUGCUAUCACAUUUGUACCACCCUGGGGUGAGUGACAACACCUGAAGCAAGGUGGGGAAGCUGUGGUAGUUUUGUCGUCUGAGGGGACAGACUGGGGCCUCCCCUCAGCCUGACGGAAAGGCCCUGAGAAAAUGGCCGCCAGCAGUGGUGGGAGCUGUGCGGGUCUCCACUUUGCCCAACACUCGGCCAUCCUGAGAGAAUGUUUCCUUUAUUUUUUUCUCCCUCCACAAUUUUUCCUUCAGGUUAUCUACAAGCAGCAGGGCAGCCCCUGCUUUUGAUUCCAGUUCUGGCAACAGCAGGUGCUGCAGCCCAGCACUGCCACAGUGCCAUGCCCAGCCCUCAGCCCCAGCCUGGGGCUUUGCUGAAAUGUACAGUGUUGGGAUUCUCUGUCAAUGGCCUCCAUCUCCAUGCUGGUUGUCAGGUAGGUGUGAAGCUAGACCUGUUUUCCUGGGGCAGAUCUAUUCCUCCAUCUCUCAGUCCCUAAAAGCUUGUACUCAGAUCAGUAUGAUCCAAGGCUGGAAAAAGAGCACUUUGGGCUUUUAGACAUGGACAAGACCCACUGAAGUGUGCUGUAUUCCUAGCUGCUGUUCAGCCUCACAGUGAAUUGGCUCUUUCCUGGCAGUCAUUACAAGUAAACCCUAUACCCAAAUCCUACUGCCUCUGAAGGAUGGACUUCUCAUAAGCUAUUUCCAAUCUUGUGGUAAUCUCCCAAAAUAAUCUUCCAAACUCUUUUGUGAGAGGAAUCUGCCAUUUUGAACACAUGUGCUGUUCAUAUGCUGUUUUCUGAAAUCCAAAUGGUACUAUUGAAUGGCAAAGCCACUGCUCAUUUUUGUCGCUUUAAACCUAAAAUACACUACUCUAGAGAAUUUUAGUUUCUAGCAUUGUUUCAUUUUCUAUUAGUUUAUGUGACUAAACACUGGGAUAUAAUGGUCUUUAACCCUGGUUCCAGUGUAUGUAAAAUGUGUUAACAAAGUUUUGUGUUACCCUCUCUCUAAGUAGGAAAACACUAUUUCUUGGUUUUUUUUAAACAUUCCUCCCUCAGUUCUUUUCUAUAGCAUCACAAGUUAGCUAUUAGUUCUUUAGGAGUUUCUGUAGUUUCCUGUUUUCUUGCCAGUGGGGGAGGUUUCCUGCCAAAAUUCAUGUGGAUACAAUUCUUGAAAACCUGUUCCUGAAGCUACCUGUGAAUAACAAUUACUUCUCCAUAAGUACUGUCACAAAAUAAAACCAAAUGUUCCACUUGAAACCUUUCUGUCUUUCAAUGUUUUUGACUGAAUAGCUGUUGCUAUAGAUUUGUAUUGAUUUACUGCAUUAAUGCUAGUCCUGUUGUUGUCAUACUCAGCACCAGAACAGCAUGUGUACACUUGGUUGCCGAGGAGCCUCUAAAAAAGAACAAAUUGAACUAGAUCACUGACACAGAUACAGACUGUAGCUCCCAUGGCCCUCUGCUGUUUGUGUUGCAUGCAUUCUAUCAACAUCCAUGAAGUUCACAAAUUGAAUUAAAAUUAUGAAGCUUUGUGAGGCUUGGGACAGCUUAAAGACUUCUGUUAUCGUGAGCUGCUGUAACAGCUGAAAAUAAGCAGGUGUGCAUUAAUGUCUGAUAAGUCUAGGUAUGGGGACAUGGAGCUGUUGUCAGGGAGCCCACGGUCAGAGGGGACUGAUAAUCUAUGUUGCAAAAAUGGAAAAGUAUGGUGUCUCCAUGCUUUAAUUUUUAUGAAAAAAAAUAUAUUGCAUAUUACACCUAUGUGUCUUACACCAAAAAUGUGAGAAAAAUAAAAAAUAUUGUCAAGAAGAAUAUAUUGUCAAGAAUGCACUGCCAUUGCUUGAAACACAGUUCUGCACAUUGUAUAAGCCAAGUUCUUGGCAUCUGCUGAAGUGAAAUUACUUAGGUUGCACUUGUCUUUGAGGAUAGGACCAGUAUGAUCUUUUCUUGACAUGUUCUCUACUUGCAGAAUAUUGAGAAAUGUAAUGAAAAUAGUUACGAGCAAAAGAGAGAGAUACAUUUAUCUUGGCUAACUUCUACAUGGGUGGUUAUACUGGGUAGAUCCACGGUACUAUUUGUUGUCGUGUAAGAAGCCUGCAUGGCCUCUACCUAGUGAGCUGGAAGUGGUCCCUAGGUCUGGUGAGCAAGGUACUGUACUCAAAGCUAUUUUGUCAGGGGACAGGUGAUACUUUGAUGGCCAAGGUGAAGUAAAAAGCUCCAGGAGCCUGUUGACAUCAGUAAUGCCCCAAUGUAGUACAGUUCCCUCCCCUCCCUCGAACCACCCUGAGAAAAAGCAAAUCUGACCCUAAAACUUGUGAAGAAAAUAGAAAAAAAGAAGCAU